GAUGGCAGAUUGUGUAUGUGAAUGAUUAGGGUGAAUGUGCAUGUGCUUUGACAGCUAGGUUGAAUAAAUUAAAGGGAGUGCAUGUGGCUUGGCUGGAAUGAUUGGAAUGCAAUCUGAAAUGGGAUGUGUUGGUGUGAAUUUCUGGUACAAAGGGCCUCCUUUGGUCUUCAAUUUCGUCCUCGUGUUGCAUCCCCCAAUCUUUUUUGUUUUUUUUUUUUGGAUUUUUUUUUGUUUUUUGGGAAGCGCGUCGCAUAUAACCGAGCCUCGUGCUUGGGGGGUGAAAGAAAAAGAGUAGGAGUAUUAAUUUUACUUCAUUUUUUCGAAUUUCGUGCAAACGGCAAAGAAGGGGUUAUAUACAAUUACAAGUCAUAGACUAACGGAUGCGAUCAUACCAACUCACAUGCACCGGAUCCCAUCAGAACUCCGAAGUUAAGCGAGUUUGGGCGAGAGUAGUACUAGGAUGGGUGACCUCCUGGGAAGUCCUCGUGUUGCAUCCCCCAAUCUUUUUUGUUUUUUUUUUUUUGGAUUUUUUUUUGUUUUUUGGGAAGCGCGUCGCAUAUAACCGAGCCUCGUG
rnacentral:rRNA from 1 species